rnacentral:rRNA from 1 species
GAUGAACGCUGGCGGCGUGCUUAACACAUGCAAGUCGAACGAACCUUCGGGUUAGUGGCGGACGGGUGAGUAACGCGUGGGAAUCUGCCCUCAGGAGGGGGAUAACGGUUGGAAACGACCGCUAAUACCCCAUAUGCCGAGAGGUGAAAUGAAUUUCGCCUGAGGAUGAGCCCGCGUCUGAUUAGCUUGUUGGUGAGGUAAUGGCUCACCAAGGCAUCGAUCAGUAGCUGGUCUGAGAGGAUGAUCAGCCACACUGGGACUGAGACACGGCCCAGACUCCUACGGGAGGCAGCAGUGGGGAAUUUUCCGCAAUGGGCGAAAGCCUGACGGAGCAACGCCGCGUGAGGGACGAAGGCCUCUGGGCUGUAAACCUCUUUUCUCAAGGAAGAAGAUAUGACGGUACUUGAGGAAUAAGCCACGGCUAAUUCCGUGCCAGCAGCCGCGGUAAUACGGGAGUGGCAAGCGUUAUCCGGAAUUAUUGGGCGUAAAGCGUCCGCAGGCGGCCUUUCAAGUCUGCUGUUAAAACGUGGAGCUUAACUCCAUCAUGGCAGUGGAAACUGAUUGGCUUGUGUAUGGUAGGGGCAGAGGGAAGUCCCGGUGUAGCGGUGAAAUGCGUAGAUAUCGGGAAGAACACCAGUGGCGAAGGCGCUCUGCUGGGCCAUUACUGACGCUCAUGGACGAAAGCCAGGGGAGCGAAAGGGAUUAGAUACCCCUGUAGUCCUGGCCGUAAACGAUGAACACUAGGUGUCGGGGGAAUCGACCCCUUCGGUGUCGUAGCUAACGCGUUAAGUGUUCCGCCUGGGGAGUACGCACGCAAGUGUGAAACUCAAAGGAAUUGACGGGGGCCCGCACAAGCGGUGGAGUAUGUGGUUUAAUUCGAUGCAACGCGAAGAACCUUACCAGGGCUUGACAUCCUGCGAACCUUUAAGAAAUUAGAGGGUGCCUUCGGGAACGCAGUGACAGGUGGUGCAUGGCUGUCGUCAGCUCGUGUCGUGAGAUGUUGGGUUAAGUCCCGCAACGAGCGCAACCCACGUUUUUAGUUGCCAGCAUUUAGUUGGGCACUCUAGAAAGACCGCCGGUGAUAAACCGGAGGAAGGUGUGGAUGACGUCAAGUCAUCAUGCCCCUUGCGUCCUGGGCUACACACGUACUACAAUGCUACGGACAAAGGGCAGCAAACUCGCGAGAGCUAGCAAAUCCCAUAAACCGUGGCUCAGUUCAGAUCGUAGGCUGCAACUCGCCUACGUGAAGUAGGAAUCGCUAGUAAUCGCAGGUCAGCAUACUGCGGUGAAUACGUUCCCGGGCCUUGUACACACCGCCCGUC